GGAGAUUUAGCUCAGUGGCAUAAGCACCUGCCUUGCAAGCAGGAGGUCAUGAGUUCGAUCCUUGGUACCG
rfam:Cavia porcellus supercont2_1 genomic scaffold, whole genome shotgun sequence.